rnacentral:lncRNA from 1 species
UUAUUCGUAGCUGGCAAUCAAACCAUUAAAAAAAAACAAUUCAAUUAGUAGUUUUACAAGUUUGAUCAAUUUGAUGCAGUCAAAGACACAAUACCCUAAAUAAGCUCAAACAAAAUGUUCGACCACGCUAAAGCAAGUGAACACAAGAAAAAUCCUAAAUUAACAUGAAUGAAGUGGUCAGUCACUUGGCGUGAAAGUUUUAUCUUUCUUACCUUAAUAAAGGGGAGGCCGCCUUUACGGACAAAAUACCCUCCAACAACCAUAAUAUACAUUCCUGUUCAAGAAGUAAGCAGAAGUACAGAUUUAAAUGGCAAAAAGGAACUGUAAAAACAAUAGGAAGAGUAAAAACAAGGGAUAAUUACACAUACUCCCUUAAUGUUUCACCAUGUAUCAUAGAAUUCGCCAUGGUUCCAAAUAUUACAUAGACCUUCAUUUUGAGUUUAAUUCAGAAGUGAACUGAUUAGCCCCUUAUGUAAGAUAUAUGGACUUAUAUCUACAUACAUAUGAACAAUAUACGGAUAAAUUAUAUGUUAU